UACGUAGGGGGCUAGCGUUGUCCGGAAUCAUUGGGCGUAAAGCGCGUGUAGGCGGUCCGGUAAGUCCGCUGUGAAAGUCGGGGGCUCAACCCUCGGAUGCCGGUGGAUACUGUCGGGCUUGAGUACGGAAGAGGCGAGUGGAAUUCCUGGUGUAGCGGUGAAAUGCGCAGAUAUCAGGAGGAACAUCAGUGGCGAAGGCGGCUGCCUGGCCCAAUACUGACACUCAGGUGCGACAGCGUGGGGAGCAAACAGG
rnacentral:rRNA from 1 species